GACGAACGCUGGCGGCGUGCUUAACACAUGCAAGUCGAACGGAAAGGCCCUGCUUUUGUGGGGUGCUCGAGUGGCGAACGGGUGAGUAACACGUGAGUAACCUGCCCUUGACUUUGGGAUAACUUCAGGAAACUGGGGCUAAUACCGGAUAGGAGCUCCUGCUGCAUGGUGGGGGUUGGAAAGUUUCGGCGGUUGGGGAUGGACUCGCGGCUUAUCAGCUUGUUGGUGGGGUAGUGGCUUACCAAGGCUUUGACGGGUAGCCGGCCUGAGAGGGUGACCGGCCACAUUGGGACUGAGAUACGGCCCAGAAUCCUACGGGAGGCAGCAGUGGGGAAUAUUGCACAAUGGGCGGAAGCCUGAUGCAGCAACGCCGCGUGCGGGAUGACGGCCUUCGGGUUGUAAACCGCGUUCGCCUGUGACGAAGCGUGAGUGACGGUAAUGGGUAAAGAAGCACCGGCUAACUACGUG
rnacentral:rRNA from 1 species